rnacentral:rRNA from 1 species
GUGCAGCAGUCGAGAAAACUCCGCAAUACACGAAAGUGUGACGGGGCCAUCCCGAGUGCCGUCCGCUGAGGACGGCUUUUCCCCAGUGUACACAGCUGGGGGAAUAAGGAGAGGGCAAGCCUGGUGUCAGCCGCCGCGGUAAUACCAGCUCUCCGAGUGGUGGGGACGCUUAUUGGGCCUAAAGCAUCCGUAGCCGGCUGGGCAAGUUCUCCGUUAAAUCCAACGAUUCAAUCGUUGGGCUGCGGGGGAUACUGUCCAGCUUGGGGGCGGGAGAGGCCGACGGUAUUCCCGGGGUAGGGUGAAAUCCUAUAAUCCCGGGAGGACCACCAGUGGCGAAGGCUGUCGGCUAGAACGCGCCCGACGGUGAGGGAUGAAAGCUGGGGGAGCGAACCGGAUUAGAUACCCCGGUAGU